CAUCUAACUGACUUCCCAUCGCUUAACACCAACCAAAGUCGUGACUUUGCACCGACUAAAAGCGCGAUUUCAAAACAAACUACCCCAACAGCGAAAGCGGUGACAAGCGGACAUCCCCUCACCUGAUGGGAAAGAAGCAGCCACCGGUGUGGAGCGUCGACGUCGAAGGGGUUUUGUCGAGACACUCACAACACGCGUUCGCUCAUUCGCUCGCUAGCUUUGUGGACGUGAUUGAGUGUAUUCGGUUGUUCUUCACCGAUUGGUCACGUUAAAAAAUGAGUUUAUUGCCGCGAGCACGACUUGUGUACAAACAUUUCUCCGCACUGUGACGACGACAACGGCGACCAUUAUUAAUCGUCGUCAGCAGUGUUGGAUCGAAAUGGAUUUUGGACGGGUGAUGGAUGACUCCUUCCACUCUCCAUUUCAAAAUUUCAUCGAAGGGCAUACGAUCCCAAAUCCAGUCAAUCCAAUAGGAAUCAAUCAGAGUACCUGUUGGAUUUUGGAUGGAAACCACAGCCAGCCGAUCAAUUCAUGCAUUACGCAAAACUAGUUGGAAUAGUGGCAAACUAGUUUGGUUUGCUUUUGUCGGCAAAGAUGGAGACCUGAGCUCGGGCGAAAUCAACAGCACCACAACAAACGAGGGCACUCACAUCUGAUUGGAACCAAGCAGUACAAGUACAUCUACACACGUUGCAGUGACGAUUUCUCCUCCGUCAUUUCUCUUCGUCAGGGUUGCCGGCGUCAUUGUUGUGCAGUUGGGUGAAUUGUUGCCAGCAAUGGUGGUCGAAGAUCGAAAAAAAUAUUUGAUGUUAUACGUUUACUACAAACUCUUUCCAGCGAAACAUGGAGACACACGAAAAAGCAUUAAUUAUUUGAUGUAGUCAGAGAUUUUCUUUAUUUCUGUUGCAGAGUUUGUAGAUCACAUUGCCAGUAUCCACAAGCUGUCAUUAUACUACCGCUAGAAGUGUUUUUUUUUAUUGUAUGCUUGUAGAUUUUCACAUCUUUCACAAAUAUACUGAAGAAACAUGUUAACAAAUCUUACAUUAUAUAAAAAAGUUAAAAUUUGUUAACUAAAGAAAAAACUUACAUAGAACACAAGCUUGAACCUUUAUAAGGCAGGUAACCCUCAAAGUCCCGAACAGACUUUUUGUUUUCAAUCGACGAUUGCUCAGAAACGAGUAAGUUUAAUGAAAUGGGAUCAUUUCGAUCGAUGAGAUGAGUUAGACAUCCUGCAAGUGGGAUUUUCAAACAGGAAGAUGUGUUCAACCGGAAAUAAGUAUUUUCUUGACACAUCUUUCACAUAUUUAGCUACGAACCCGAUAUUCAAAAAUAGGUUUUAGCCAUUUUUAGAAUACAUCAAUUGGUUUAUUAUCUUGCAUGGGGUGAACACUGGAACCUGGUUCUAGAAAUACCUUCUGGAUAGGAGCCGAGGUCAAGGAAUAUAUGUAAAUUUGAUCUGAACCAACAUAUGCGGCUAUUUGAACACCAUGCAAUCAUCUCAGAAAGCCAAUGCUGGGUUGUAAGGUCACUCCCGGUGAAUCAGGAAGCAAUCAUGAGUGAAGCUCAAAACUGGAAAUGCGACUGCUCAAACAUAAUGAAAUAACCUAAACGUUGUGGUAAGAUUGAUAGGUAUUGUUGUGGAGGGUCAAAUCUACGUUUACUGCUUGGCCUCGGCUUCUACACGCAAAGUACUUUUGGAACCAGGCUCACUUCCUCUGGCUUAUAUAUAUUAGUGAACGAAAUAUCAGAACUAUAGCGGCAUCGCCGAUAUAUUGAGUAAGAAAUUUUGAAUAUCGAGAGCAAAAUGUCGUUUUUUUCCAAUUAAUAGAAAAAUCGGAACAUCCCUAAUCUAUUAUAUACACACUUUUUUCACCGAAAUGUAGUUGAUAAAGUUUAGAUGUAAUAAUUUUAGUACAUAUUUUAAUAAUUCGGAAAGAUUUAAGAUAACUUAAGGAAAUUCAAUUGUUACACCAUAGUUAUUAUUGCACAUCAACGUUGUAGAUUGCACGGGUAUUAACUGGUAAAGUGACAGAUCGUUAUACCGAUUGGAACACUCAAUCUGAUAUAGAGACAAUACGGCGAGGCAUUGUUGGCAACAACAUUCUCGAUAUUUGUUAAGUAAUUCAUUUGAAAAUGCAAAUGUUCCAGGUUUCAUUUUUUGUAAACAAGUACUGAUUUCUACCGAUUGACUCCAAACAUGUUUGAAAAAAAUAUUCAAUUGACUUUUUUAUUCUGUUGAUAUAGGGUAACACUGACCACCCAGGUAAACAUCGUUCGGGCAUAUAAAAAAUGUCGUUACUUAAAUUAUGGCCCUGAUGCCGAAUAUAAAUGUCAAACUUUUACAAGAUAUACAGUGUUUCAGUUACCGUAAUUCGGGGUGUAGUUGAUCAGUGGGGAGAAGUUGAUCAUUCCCGUACCC